rnacentral:snRNA from 1 species
GUCCCUUUGGGAACAUCCAAAAAAUUGGAACGAUACGAGAAGAUUAACAUGACCCCUGCACAAGAAUAACACACAAAUUGAGAAAUGAUCAAAAAAAUUUC